AUGUCACUUUUCACAUCACGAGCCUGUAAGUGCACUUGGGGAGUCCUGAAAUUAAACCUUUCCCUUCUCCCCUCUUGGGCAAACUUCUUGCCUUCAAACCAGGUGCUUGGUAGCACCUUGGCACUGGGUGUGGUUGCUAUCAGCACAUCUGCUUAGAUGGUGAUGGAAAUUUCACAGGAGACUCUGCUGUGUCUGCCCAGACAGAUUGGGAAAACUUGGGGUUGAAGCUGUCCUGCCUCAUCAGGUCUGGGGCUGAGACCCAACCUUGGAGAGCCUGCUGUGGGACAAGGAGAAAGAAGAAACCACAUCUCUCUUGCAGCAGCAGUGACCCGUUUUCCUGGCAGGAGGAGGAAUCUGCUCCCCAGCUUCCCCUGGUUGCUUUUGAAGGCGAGCACGUGCUUCUCAGCGGCAGCCCCUGCUCACUGAAGACGCUCGGCCUCUCCACAAGGUCUUGCAUGCGUGCAGGGCAGAACUGGUGGGAGCCCAGGUAAUCUACUCUGCCUCUGAAAGUCCUCUGGUCACCAGCCCUUGGCUACCCUUGACCCUGGCAGCAUCUUCAAAGGGAGAAUGGGCCUGCUGCGGAGCGUGCAAUGUUUGCUCACUUAUCGGGCAAGCAGCUACUGCCUUCCUGCCUUGGGGGGUUUCGUCAGCCUCCUGCCACACUCCGGGGGAGACUGGUCAGCCACCGCUGCUUGCACA